UCCGGUUUGUCACCGGCAGUCUCAUUAGAGUGCCCAACUAAAUGUAGCAACUAAUGACAAGGGUUGCGCUCGUUGCGGGACUUAACCCAACAUCUCACGACACGAGCUGACGACAGCCAUGCAGCACCUGUGUCUAGGUUCCCUUUCGGGCACACUCACAUCUCUGCGAGCUUGCAGUACCAUGUCAAGCCCUGGUAAGGUUCUUCGCGUUGCAUCGAAUUAAGCCACAUGCUCCACCGCUUGUGCGGGCCCCCGCCAAUUCCUUUGAGUUUCAACCUUGCGGCCGUAGUCCCCAGGCGGUGAACUUAAUGCGUUAGCUGCGGCACUGAUCGGGUCAAUCCGACCAACACCUAGUUCACAACGUUUAGGGCGUGGACUAC
rnacentral:misc_RNA from 1 species